AGGCAUGCGGGUUUAUUGUUAGAAUUAAUGGACUAUUAAUAAGAAAUGUAGAUAAUGUAUGCUGCAGAGCUUUGAAAAUCCUGAAACACACCCUAAGGGUUAUGGAAUUUACAUCUUUCAUAGCUUCUAUUAUUUCUUCACUAGUUUGCAGCUAUGCCCACACCUGGAAGGUGACAAAAGGUGGAGUUUACUUUCUCGCCCGUGUCAGCAGUCAUACGGUGGAAUCCAUGAAAAUUGGAUUUCCUUUUUCUGGUGCGUUUUACUCUUGAACUGUGUAACUGUGGAUAACUUUAAUACUGCCCAUUCUUUGUUUACAGUUAUAUAAUUUCUAUUAGCCUUAAAAGUAACCGAUAUAUUUCUUUUUUAAGGUUUCAGUAUAAAACAUAAUCUGCAUCUUCAUUAUGAAACUCAUAUGCAAUUUUCUUCUAUCUCUAGAAGUUUAGAUUGAGGUUUAAAAGAACCAUUUUCAUUAUCAAGCUUCCCCAUAGUUUCCCACUUUCUUAUUCCAAAUAUUUUUAAAAAUCACACCAAAUAUCAGAGCUUUUAGCAAUAUAAAGAAAGAUUUAUUUUCAAAAGUAGCAAAACUUGUUUGAAAAAAAUAUAUAUCUUUAAGUGAAUUACUUUAUAAAUGUGACUGUCAAAGUCAGCUAUCCUAUGAUCUACAUUUUACAACAUAUUGUACAAAAGAUACAUUGAUAGGCUCUUAUCUAUUUAUAUAUUUAUAAUUACAUAUUGCACUUGGACCAGCAAGGCUUGCAGAGUCAUUCACGGUAGAAGUUAAUAAAGUUAAAUAGAUGGCAAUCUUUGUAAGUACAAUUGAUCUCCUCUGGUUUGGAAACGAAUCUCCUCGUCGUUGUAAAGUGUUCUCGCGGGGUGGGACAGAGAGAGGAGCAUUGCGAGGGGGAAGCAGAGACAGAGAGCACUGAGGGCAGGGGUCGCCUUCCCGGGGCCCGCUCCCCCCGGGAGCGCGCCUUUCCCAGACUCGCACCUCCAAGGUCAGGACGCGGUGGUUCCACAUAAGCGGCUCGCGGUCACCACUUCCUUCAGGUCACUCUCGGGUUUCCCGGCCACCAUAAAGGGCCACGUCUGCGGGAAAGAAGAGGGUGGAGGAGAGUUGUGAGAAGGAACCCCGAGGACUUCUGCAGCAGAGGAACCGGCUCUCUGUUUCCCCACUCCCAGAGUCGUGGCCGUAGAGGAGGAAAACACGAAUUAAAAUACAGGGAGUAUCAACUGCAUCCUGCCAACACCUCAUAAGACUCCAAGGCUUUACCGAGAUCUUCCACCUUCCCCGGGAUAAAUGAAGACAAGUGCUUCCUAGAAUCUUUAUGGUGAUGGAAAAGUGGAGAUUUAAAUGACCACAUCCACCCUAAGAUUUAUUGUGAGAAUGAUUGAUGUUAUAAACCAGGAAAAGGACUCUUCCCACAGCAGGGAUGACAGAAAUAUCAAGCUGAAGUUGCCUUUGUCUUCACAUACGAAUGACCCAGUACUACAACACAGAAAGUAUAAUAAUUUAAUCUGAGGUUCAAGACAGCAGUGAGAGAACACCCAGCAGGCCUGUUAAAAAUUUCUUCACUAAUUCCUCAACCAGUUUCCUUUGAUUUGCUCUCCCUUUUCUCAGUCUUGGUAAAACAUGAAAGUUAAAGUUAUUUUUAGACUACAGAGCUAUGUGAAAAUGGGCAUUGGCCAAUACUUUGUGAAAUGUGUGUGUGUGUGUGUAGCUACUAAGAUAUCUGCAAAAUAACUACAAAUAAUUAAUUUGGACUCUGGAAUGUGAUAAUUAUUAUAAAUCCAAACUAUGGCCUUACUGCAUACAUUAAGCUGUGAUUUUUCUUGUUGGAGCCAUUUUUUUUUCUUUUUGGCUCUGGGUCUCUGUUACACCUUAGUUAAUGGACUGCUCAGGCUGUCUGGGGAGAUAGUAAAAAUCAUAGUAAUAUGUACCACUGAAAAGAUUUCUGUUGUCUGUAUAUUUUUCAAUGUUGGAAACUUAAAAGUACCAAUUUCUGGAAGCAUGUAAAAUUAGCCUCAUGUCAUAGGAUGGUUUUUAUGCUUAGCAAUUAUUUUUCUUCAUAGCCAUAUAAGAAAUAAUUAAGUCCCAUGUCCAUUUAUCUUGCAGUAAGACAUUUGGGCUGAGAAAGGCUAGUGGGCUGAUAAUAAAUUUUGGAGUGUUUCUAAAAUUCUGUAAAAGAUGGCUUCCAGUUUGGGAGUAAGAGUCAAAGAAUACUGUUGCUUAUGUAUCUUGAUAUGAAGUCUUGGAGAGAGAAUAUUCAUAUGAAAAAUACUUUUUUUCUUUUAAAAUUUUGUGUCUAUCCCUGCUAAUAAACACUUAGGGACAAAUGGGUGGGAGAAAUGACUUCUUGUUGGAUUCUACUGAGCAAGUCAGUUAAGCUGUAACUUAAGCUGUGCCAAAUUCUCCCAAAAUAUAAACUAUAUUCUGUGAGAAGACAAGCACUUUUGAGAAGCUGUAUUAACCCUUUUGGUAAGUUGACCACUUCUGUUCCAAAGCACGAAAUAGAAAACUCGUGAUUUGAAAGUAUGAGAUCAUUUCUAAAAGUUCUUACCUGACUUUUAAGAAGCAGUUAUGCCCCAGAGGCAUCUGGCCAAUUUGCUGCUCACUUCUAACAAUUUGUUUUGCAAGAGAGACUAUCUUUGAAAGAUUUUAGUGCUAAGGAAAUUUUAUCUCUGAAAGCUGUAAAAUGAAGAUUAGGCAUGGAAUGUACCCUUGAACUUAAAUCCUGGUUUAUCAGCUGAUACAUUUACAGGAAGUUCAAAUUUGAUUCAGUUGCACUUGGAUGGAAUAAUUUGCUUCCUUUUUUAUGAGAAGGAAAACAUCAUAGGCUUCCUUUGAACUGACUUCAUAUGCCAUUACAUAAUCUUUCUCAGGGGAAAAAUAUGCCUUUAAAUUUAAAUGUUAAUCCUUUUCUCUUACUCCUCAUCAUUUGGUCAGGAGACACAGGCUGGCAAAUUGGCAAAACUGCCCAUUCUCUUUUUUCUUCAUUUCUAAUUAGCACCGCCAGAUGUUUUAUUCAUUUUAUUUGAUGGUAACUACCACCACUUCAAAUAUUUGCCAACUUUCUAUGCAAGUUGACGCCUUUUUUUUUUUCUUUUUUUGAUGGAGUCUUGCUCUGUCACCCAAGCUGGAGUGCAUCAGCACGAUCUAGGCUCACUGCAACCUCUGCCUCCCAGGUUCAAGAGAUUCUCAUGCCUCAGCCUCCCGAGUAGCUAGAAUUACAGGUGCCUGCCACCAUGCCUAUCAAAUUUUUGUAUUUUUAGUAGAGGUGGGGUUUCACCAUUUUGGCCAGGCUGGUUUCAAACUCCUGAUCUACCCACCUCGGCCUCCCAAAGUGCUGGGAUUACAGGCAUGAGCCACCGUGCCCAGCCAGGUGCCUCUUUUUUGAUUUUACAUAAUUAUCUCCAUAUACUUUGUUUGCUGCUGAUUGAUUGUUGUCUAUCUCCCACUUAUAUGCCUAUCAAACUCUGACUUUGUUUCAUUAAAUUUUAACUUUAUUUAAUAAAGUGGGCAUUACCUCUCUUUGCUCAUUCUAAAUUAUAGUGGUGCUGUCCUGUUAUAUUUUGGCAGCCAAAGUGAAUAUGGCACUAGUGAGCUUGGUGGCUAGCUAAGAAGGUCAAUAACAGUGAUGCUGGGUGUUGCUGCUACCUUUACCUGGCACCAGCUGGGAGACGGUAUAAAUCCUGGAUGGUAUAAAUCCAUUCAGUAAUUAGAAGUCUUCUGCAUGUUCACUAUACCCUAACCCCCUCUUUUCACAUUGAAUUCAGUGAAUUGUAGAUAAGAUGCCACAUUGCUAAGAUUUAAAGGUGGCAAAUAACAACAAUAAAGUCUAGGGAAAGAUUCUGCAUGGUUCUUUGAAUCCAGGAGUUAAUCUUGCAUUUCACAUGUUCCACAAUACAGCUUUGAAAGCAGCCAAGCCUAUGCACUUGAAAGUCAGAGUUUACCCUAAGGUGUAAGUGGGCCAGAGAAAACUCGGGCAGACAAAGAGAGUUAAAAAUUUUGCAAAGCCAGUUUAAUGUCCUCCUAAGUUUUCUAAUACUAGAAUAAUUUUAUUAGACCCUCUCAGUGUUAGGAAAGAGAGAGAAAAGGACUGAGCGACUCCUGAGUCAGGUACCAUGCAGGGACUUUUGCCUCCAUUCUCUCAUUUCAUGUAUUUUCUCUCCUUUCUGUUGGCACUACUAAAGAAAGAGCUGCCACAUGAAAUGAACAGUGUAUUAGAAAUGUAUGCCAGAGGCUUUCCCCUGUAAUAAAGUUUUAGAAAAACUG
rnacentral:antisense_RNA from 1 species